GGGAGUUGCAGCUCUUCAGGGUCUUCCGUGGUCAUUGCCCCACCUGCUGGUCACACUGGGAGUGACACUCAGGAGUGGCCCCAGAGCCACCCUCUGGGAAGUGAGGGGAUCCUUGGGAGCCCGAGGAUCCCAGGCGGCCCUGGUUGGGCAUCCCUGAUCUUCAAACCAACACUGAGUCCCGUGCCCUCCCUGUGAGCUCAGGACCAUGCCUUUCUCACCACUGUAGAUCCAAACUUGGCAUGUUUUGGCUGCCUGUGAGACUAAAGCAGUGAAUGCCACCCCUCUCCCCAAAGCAUCAAGAGGCUCACCCACUGCAGGGCCUGCCCCUGCCUUCCUCUCUUCACCCGGCUGGGCUCCAAGCUGCUCGGGGCUCUCACCCAGUCUCGCUGGAUUUCCUUCAGUUCCUUGAUGUCUGGGCUUCUCUUGCCUCAGGGCUUCCAUACAUGUCGUCCCCCCGAACUGGAAUGCCCUUCCGUCCUUCCCCUACCCGGCUAGGGGACUGCCCAUCUUUCAGGUAGGUCUCAGCUCAGUCCUGCCACCUGACUGGGCUGACCCCUUCUCUGUGUGCUCCCAUGGCAUGAUGGGCCUGCCUCAGAGGAGCCUUCUCAGUCCCCGCCUUUCAGUCCAUUUGUGCGACUAUCUCUAGGACAGGACCCUGCCGUUGAUGACCCUGCGAUCUAGCUGGGAUCAGAACUGUGGUUCAGAGGCGUCCACUGGGCUGCACUGACUGGACACAGCUUCAGAGCCAGCUUUGAGGAGAGGCUCUUCCACCUCUGGGCCAAAGGAGUCAGUGCUGGGGUUGGUGUGUAUGUGUGUUGGAGGGGGGCAGGCCAGAAACUGAGACAGGAGGAGAGGAGCCAAAUCAGG
rnacentral:lncRNA from 10 species